AACGUAGGAGACAAACGUUAUCCGGAGUUACUGGGCGUAAAGGGCGUGCAGGCGGUUUGUUAAGUGCAGGGUGAAAGCUCCCGGCUCAACUGGGAGAGGUCCUUGCAUACUGGCGAACUCGAGGGAGGCAGAGGAAAGUGGAAUUCCCGGUGUAGUGGUGAUAUGCGUAGAUAUCGGGAGGAACACCUGUGGCGAAGGCGGCUUUCUGGGCCUUACCUGACGCUGAGACGCGGAAAGCGUGGGGAGCGAACCGG
rnacentral:rRNA from 1 species